rnacentral:rRNA from 1 species
CCUUCGGGGGACAGCAGUGAGGAAUAUUGGUCAAUGGACGAGAGUCUGAACCAGCCAAGUAGCGUGAAGGAUGACUGCCCUAUGGGUUGUAAACUUCUUUUAUAUGGGAAUAAAAUGUUCCACGUGUGGGAUUUUGUAUGUACCCUAUGAAUAAGGAUCGACUAACUCCGUGCCAGCAGCCGCGAGAAUACGGAGGAUCCGAGCGUUAUCCGGAUUUAUUGGGUUUAAAGGGAGCGUAGGUGGAUUGUUAAGUCAGUUGUCAAAGUUUGCGGCUCAACCAUAAGAUUGCAGUUGAAACUGGCAGUCUUGAGUACAGGAGAGGUGGGCGGAAUUCGUGGUGUAGCGGUGAAAUGCUUAGAUAUCACGAAGAACUCCGAUUGCGAAGGCAGUUCACUGGACUGCAACUGACACUGAGGCUCGAAGGUGUGGGUAUCAAACAGGAUUAGAUACCCGGGUAGUC